GACCGGCGCACGGGUGAGUAACGCGUAUGCAACCUGCCCGAUACCGGGGUAUAGCCCAUGGAAACGUGGAUUAACACCCCAUAGUACUUUUAUCCUGCAUGGGAUGUGAGUUAAAUGUUCAAGGUAUCGGAUGGGCAUGCGUCCUAUUAGUUAGUUGGCGGGGUAACAGCCCACCAAGACGAUGAUAGGUAGGGGUUCUGAGAGGAAGGUCCCCCACAUUGGAACUGAGACACUGUCCAA
rnacentral:rRNA from 1 species